UCUCCGUUGGUGAACCAGCGGAGGGAUCAUUACAGGACUCGCAAGACUCCUUACACCCUGUGAACCUUACUGUAUACGCGUUGCUUCGGCGGGUCCGCCCGCCGGCAGCAUACCACAUUCUGUUUCUCUGCGUUGGCAUCUCGAGAAAAAAGCAAGUAAGUUAAAACUUUCAACAACGGAUCUCUUGGUUCUG
rnacentral:misc_RNA from 1 species